GAUGAAGAACGUAGUGAAAUGCGAUAAGUAAUGUGAAUUGCAGAAUUCAGUGAAUCAUCGAAUCUUUGAACGCACAUUGCGCCCGCCAGUAUUCUGGCGGGCAUGCCUGUUCGAGCGUCAUUUCAACCAUCAAGCCCCCGGCUUGUGUUGGGGACCCUGCGGCUGCCCGCAGGCCCUGAAAACCAGUGGCGGGCUCGCUGUCACUCCGAGCGUAGUAGCAUAUAUCUCGCUCAGGGCGUGCUGCGGGUUCCGGCCGUUAAAAGCCUUUUUUUUUUACCCAAGGUUGACCUCGGAUCAGGUAGGAAGACCCGCUGAACUUAAGCAUAUCAAUAAGCGGAGGA
rnacentral:misc_RNA from 1 species